rnacentral:tRNA from 1 species
GGAGAUUUAGCUCAGGGUAGAGCGCUUGCCUAGCAAGCGCAAGGCCCUGGGUUCGGUCCCCAGCUCCG